rnacentral:rRNA from 1 species
UUUUCGAAUCGUAAAGCUCUGUCCUAUGAGAAGAUAAUGACGGUAUCAUAGGAGGAAGCCCCGGCUAAAUACGUGCCAGCAGCCGCGGUAAUACGUAUGGGGCGAGCGUUGUCCGGAAUUAUUGGGCGUAAAGGGUACGUAGGCGGUUUUUUAAGUCA